rnacentral:lncRNA from 1 species
GGCCUUUGUUCUCCUGAUGGAGGGGGUCGGGCGCGGGAUCUACUGGAGGAUCCUGGAUUCGUUUACCCAAGAGGGAACAGUUUUGAGACCCCCCGGAUUCACUGCGGAGUGGCCGCAGAGGCCGGGGUCGGCCUUUGCGCCGUGGCUUCGGGUGUUGUGGAGGCGCACAGAGGCACGUUAGUUGAUUUCCAGUGGUUUUUGGUUUCGGGGGUCUUAGGAAGGUGUGGCUCAUUUGAGCAGGAUGGAGAGAGAGGCUGUGACAAGGGUCUCUCCUCAGGGAUGACAUCAUCCGUCCACCUCCUUGUCUUCAAGGACCACCUCCUCUCCAUGCUGAGCUGCUGCCAAGGGGCCUGCUGCCCAUCUACACCUCACGAGGGCACUAGGAGCACGGUUUCCUGGAUCCCACCAACAUACAAAGCAGCCACUCACUGACCCCCAGGACCAGGAUGGCAAAGGAUGAAGAGGACCGGAACUGACCAGCCAGCUGUCCCUCUUACCUAAAGACUUAAACCAAUGCCCUACAGGUUCCCAGUGCCCCCGACAAGCCCCUGCUGGUGUCUCCAUCUCCUGCCAAGCAUCCUCCAGUGCCUCCUCCUGUGGGCCUGGCCUCAGGGCUAUGGACAGACUCCUGUCCCAUCCCAGAGACCCCUCGUGAUCGUGCCCUGGCACGUGGGCCGUGGCCCGGCUGGGUCGGCUGAAGAACUGCGGAUGGAAGCUGCGGAAGAGGCCCUGAUGGGGCCCACCAUCCCGGACCCAAGUCUUCUUCCUGGCGGGCCUCUCGUCUCCUUCCUGGUUUGGGCGGAAGCCAUCACCUGGAUGCCUACGUGGGAAGGGACCUCGAAUGUGGGACCCCAGCCCCUCUCCAGCUCGAAAUCGGCAGACUAGGAUGGAAGUGCCCUGUGAGCUGGGGGGCCCUUCAAAGGGCCAAGGAGAAAACGCAGGCCGAGGGACCAGCCUUCCAAAUGGGCUUCAAGCUCCAAUGACCUCCGCUCGCCCCCUCGAAAUGUCUGGAAAACAUAAUGGGCAGAUUUUCUGUCUUCAAAGUUUCCGGCUAAACCUCUUCAAGUUCUUUAUUGUUUGGGACUGAGACACUCAGCCAUGUUAAUGGGUAGUUUCUUUUGUAUUUGCCUUGAAAGGCCAAAAUAUUUUUAUAUUGCCACAGACAAAGCCACCUAUUUAAAAAUGAACUCCAUGUCCGUCGUUUCCCACCAGGAGACUAUGUACCAUGUGUGUGUCUCUAUGUAUUCUGGGGUCUUGAAACAGGUUUCUCAUGGGGAUGGUCAUUCACCACGGUCCAGAGGGGCAGAACAGGCGGCGCUUGCCUUGCCCAGGGGGCCUGGGGAACGUGGGCCCUCAUCUCAGAUCUGCCCCCAGUAUGUUUAGGACGCGAGCCCCAGAAGGAUCUGGGAGUAAACUUAACAUUCACUGUGUCUCUGCUCUGCAUCCGCCAUUUGUGUGUGUUUCUGGACUGUGGGCUGUGUGUACCUUGGUUGGUGACUCAGUGAGAAGAAGCAGGAAUGCCAAAGAUACUGUGAAUGUUCUGAGUUUUGUUGCUGUUGUUGUUGAGAGGUUGUUUCACUGGUAUCUAUUGCAUUGUAUAAUAAAUGACCAGAUGAAUGAAUGAGUGAAGCAAGAGAGAAUGAAUAAACAAGUAAAUAGGUAAAGAAGUAAGCAAGCCAGGAUGAGAGUGUGUGUACACAAGACCAUGGUUCAUCCGCUUUGAUGGCUAGGCAAUCAAUAUAUAAAUAGAAAAAAACCAGUGAAUCACUAAGUAAUAGGGCAACACACAAAGCGAUAUCAGGUGAUUAUGGACUAAGGGGUAUGUGUAACUCAAAUAUAUGCCUCUGACAUUUGACAAUGAAAAAGAACCUAAAUGAAAGAAAGAAUGGAUGUAUGAGUAGUGAAGUGCAGAAUGAGACAUAGAUUUUGAGGCCCGUCAAAAUGAAAAGAUGCAAGUUAGGGAACAAGUGAUCAAAAGGGAGAAGGGAAAGGUUUUUUUUAAAAAACCAAAACAACAAAGAAAGGUUAAAAAAAAAAACAGACUAGAGGAUGAGUAAUGAGUAACUCUGUAAGGAGGACCAUGUCAGACUAUUGUAAGCUAAGCAUUAGGACUGAUACAAAUAAUAUAUGCUCCUGGCAUAGAAAAAUAAACCACAGAGAACGAGUUCAAAGAAUAGCAAAGAAAGAAAGAGGACCCAGUGGGCGAAAGAUGAGAGUGUACUUUUACCAAAAGUUAUCUAAGCCUGAGCACUUGAAGUCUGCACAUAAAUAAAUAAAUGACAAAAGAAAGAAAAAAAGGCCAAAAAGUCUACAUUGCGUGUGUGGAUGGAUGAAUGAGCAGUGGGAGUGCAGCGCCAGGUGACAAGAUGUUGUGAGGGGUUUUGAGUCAUCCAGUCCUGGGCACUGAGGUCUGUUAGAUGAAAGGAUAUGAGAAAGGUAAUAUUGGUAAAUAAAGAAAUAGGAAACAAUGUAACAAAUGUUAAGUACAGAAAUACAUUAAUGGGUGGUAAAUAAAGAUGUAAAAGAAGGCAAUGCGAUCGAUGGUGGCAAAAGAUCAUCACAGAUUAAGGGCUAUGGCUGGUCCACUUCUAGAAAACCACAGGCUGUCCAUUAAAUAAUGAACAUCUAAGUGAACAAGUCAGUGAGUACCUAAAUAGACAAGGAUGAGGUGAAUGAGAAGACAUGGCCCCAUGGGUCCUCCUGAUGAGGGUGUUGGGGUCCCCCCUGGGCACCCCAGCUGCAUGAAAAUGAAGGACAGGAGGUAUGGAAAGCUAUGACAGAAGAGAGAAAGGAACGGUAAAAAGAAAUAACAACCAAAUGGAUAAAUGGGUAGAUCCACGAGAAGAGUUAGGCUAGGACUUGUCAUAAGGGCACCUGACUCCACUAAUAGAGGAAUAAAUGCCUAAUAAAAAGAGAGCAAGCAGGAAGGAAGGAUGCUAUGAAUGCAGGAAGGAAGUAAUGAGUGAGACGUGGAACCGCACGGCCAAGGAUGGACGUUUGCGGGUGGCUUUUUGAUGCGUACAGCCAAGCCACUCCAUGGCAAUGAGCUCCGAAGACAAAGUGCAAGAGAGAAUGAGUGAGAGAGUGAGAGAGAGAGAAACAAUAAAAAAUGGGAAGAAAUGUAAAAAGGAAGAAAGGAAGAGAGGUAAUAUAUUAAGGAAUAAAUACAUGCAUGCAGAUUUAAGACAGAGCCAUGCUAGAACAGGAAUGAAAGGCUGUGUGAACCAAGCAGACCGCUUAAUUGGCACCAGUGCUGCUGGUAUGGUCAAUCACCUACUCAACUAAGGAACGGCUCAAAGCAUACACAUGGGAGGGAGGAGUGGGGCCACAGAGAGAGGGCCCAUUAGUUGCAGAUUACGAUGUAUCCAGUUAGGUGCACCUGCCUUCGAGAAGUGUAAAAAUAAGUAUUUACAUAGAAAGAAAGACUGAAUGGAUGCACGGUGAAUGCAUGAAUGAUUGAACGACAGAAAAGAUUUGCAUUGACCGAUGAGGAGGGCAUUGUAGACAGGGAUGAGGGUCAUUGAUCCUGGGUGCAGAUCUCCAAAAGAAUGACAGAAAGAAAGAGGGAGUGGUGGAAAGAAACAAUAGGAUGGGAAAAAAUGAAAAUAGAAAAAAGGAAGUGAAAGAGAUAAUAAAUAAUUAGAUCAAAUAAGUUGAUGAAAGGGGACUGGUUUAGCACAAGCCAUCCACAUUAAUUCAAACCUGUGGCUCUGAAGUUUGUUUUUUAAAUGACCACAAGUGUAAGACUGAAUGAAAGAAUAAAUGCGUGCAUUCCAUAGGAUGCAAGAAAAGGAGUGAGGAAUGGGAAAAUUGGAAGAACGAGAGAGGGAGAGAUGUAAGAAAAGAAAGGAAAAGUGAAGUAGGCAUAUGAAAGAAAAGGCACUUCUUGGACAAGCACUGAAAUAUAAUGAGACAGUUUUACCCAUUAAAUAUAAUAAACAGUAAACGUUGAGGUUCAUCAAUAAAAGCACAGAUACCUGAAUAGAGGAGUGACCUGAAUAGAAUUCGUUCAGCCGAACGAAUGAGAAUGGAUGAUUUUCACUAUCCUGUGCACUCAAGGCCCAAAAGAGAAAGCAAGAGAGGAGAGAAUAUGGAAACGUAUGACAGGAUGUAUAUAAGCAAUACAAACAUAUUGAAUGAAUAAAUAAAGACAUAAAUAUGUGGGAGAGUGGACCACGCAAGGACAAAAAGAGGAGAGAAGGCAGCAAGAAUUAUGACUAAUUCAAAACUGGGUUCCUGAGAUAGUUAAAUAAAUCCUGCACCAAAUCCCCAGGGGGAGAAAUUAACAAACAAAAGACAGCCCCACACGGACCAGUGUGCAGAAGGCUCCAGGAACCGCAGAUUAUGGUUAAUCCAAUUCUGUGCACCUGAGGUCCAUAAAUAAAAGAAUAAGUAUUGAAAUGAAAGAAUGACAGAAAGAAUGAAUGGACACAUGAACGACUGAAUUAGAAAUGGAAAUGCCUGGCACAGCCAGGAAGGAGCUGCCCAUGGGAUUGUCAUUCAUCUCACUCUGGGCACCUGAGGUCCAUAAGCGUGAAAAGAGGCAGGAAGAGAAGUGUCAGGGAGUCAAAGAUAGAGCUAAGGAAAGGCAAAAAUGAAACUAAAUGAAAGCGAAAGGGAAAAUAAAGAAAAACCAAUAAAAAAGAGAACGAAUACGUGGGUGUAUCUGUAAGAGUAGGAUCUGUUAGGAUUAGUCAUAAGACUGUCAGUAAUCCUGAAGAUGGAUGAGAUAAUCCAGGCCCAGGUUCCCAGGGGGAGGGAAAAUGGAGAAAAUAUAAAAAGAUGUGAAAAAGGAAAAAGGAAAGGUAAUAAACAAACAACCAAAGUGAUAAAUGGAUAGUUAAGGGAGGUUGUCUGAACAGGGAUUAUAAUUAGUUUACAUACAUACUCCUUAAACAGAUAAAUACAUUACACCUUUCAAAGAAUAAAUGAAAAAUAGAGAGACAUACCUGGCUCCAAAACAAGGCUGUAUCUUCUGCCACUGUAAUAAAAUAGAUGCAAUUGAGGUUCAUAAAUAAAAGAAUAAAUACUUAAACGUGAAAGGUGACUAAAUGCGGGGAAGAAAGAUUGCAAAUAAAUACAUGGGCCAAAGAUGUUUGGUUUGCCCAUGGAGUUUUAAUUAAAAAAAUUAAUAAGGAAAACAAAUACCCAAAAUAAGGAAGACUGACAAAUGAGUGAGUGGAUGAGAGAGUGAAUGGUGCUUGACGUAGGAGCAGUAGUGCUUUAGGGACCAGCAUGAAGGUGGUGACCGGGAGCCCUGAUUCAUGGGAUUCUGUCCACCUGACUUUAUAAGAACCAAGAAUGGCUGGGAAUGGUGGCUCACGCCUGUAAUCCCAGCACUUUGGGAGGCCGAGGUGGGCGGAUCAUGAGGUCAGGAGUUUGAGACCAGCCAGUUUGAGAUCAGCCUGGCCAACAUGGUGAAAUUCCAUCUCUACUAAAAAAAUACAAAAAUUAUGGGCGUGGUGGCACCUGUCUGUAAUCCUAGCUACUCGGGAGGCUGAGAGAGGAGAAUUGCUUGAACCCGGGAGGUGGAGGUUGUAGUGAGCCAAGAUUGCACCACUGCACUCCAGCCUGGGCUACAGAGCAAGACACUAUCUUAGAUCAAAAAAGAAAAAAAAAAAAAGAAGGAGAAAGAACCAGAGAAACAUAAGGAAGAGUGAGAGGAAGAAAGAAAGAUGCAAUUUGGGAAGAAAUGAAAAAGAAAUGAAUAAAGAAUAAAAUAAUGUAACGGUCAAUAAAUAGGACUUGUGAAUGGAGGCCUUUAGGCCAAAGGCUAUGAUUAAUUUCAAGCUAUGUUACUGAAGUCCAUAAACAAAGGACUCAGAUCUAAAUGGAUGAACGAAUGACUGGAAGAAAGGGUGGUAGGAAGGUAGGAAGAAAGGAAGGAGGGAAAAAGGGAAGAGAGGAAGGAACCUUCUUUCCAGUCCUGUGUUCUAGACAGUGGAAUGAAGUGGUCCCCAGGGAGGGUGGCUGUAGGCAUGUCAUGUGCUUGUCACAUGCACUUGCCCUGGCAGGGAGGAGCUGGCUCAGGAAGACCCUGGUCUUGGGGUGCUGUUGCCCUAUCUUGGCUGUGUGGGCCAUUUCACUGCAUCUGUCUCUUCCUCAGUUUCCCCAUCUGUAAACCUGGAGUGGCACCAGCUGCCUACUAGAGUUGAUCUUAUGUGUCUCUGUUGAUGGUACCCCAUCUAUGGCCUGGAUAGGCAGGAAGGGCUUGGACCCUGAGCCCCGCAGAAGGUUGCAUGAACGAGUGGUGUGAAGCCUGUUGGGUAGCUUGGCCACUCCCGCGGCAUGGGUCACCUGCACAGGAGGUUUUGCCCACCAGGGGGCAGCAGAGGGUCAGGGAGCAAUAGGCCCUGGGUGGAGCAUGGGCCCCGCCUGCUGUGUGCCACCCUGGGUGUGGCACCUACUCACAUCCAGGGGUUGGUGCAGGGAAAGGCCAGAAGGUGGCCAGGCGCACCUGAGAAGGGGGACCCAGAAGCCCCGGGACCCAGGAGCCCUGGGCAAGCCACCAGAAACCUUGUUCUUGCAACUCUCUGCAGUGUGCCCAGGCCACCCUCUGGCCUGGUCUUCCAUGGGGCAGGGCGCCCACCCUUCUCAACUCAGGUUUCCCUGGGCAGCAGGUGCACCUCAGCACCCCUGGGGUUGCAGAAGUGGUCCGGGGACCCUGGCUUCCUUGACAUGCCAUCCCCAGAGCCUGGUUCAAGGCCUCUCUGUCUUCUCGGCUGUUUCACGACGUGUUUUGUAACUUGGCGGGAUUGCGUUUCGCUGUGUCGAGGUUGUCUCUUCUCUGACUCGCCCUCCGGGGGACUGCCGGGGUAAAUCUGGAGAGUUGCUCGUGCUGACAGUCCUCCCCCAGGGCCUCCCCGGUUCUGUUGAGUCUCCUUUCUCUGUAGUGGAGGAAAUGUGUGUAGUUUUGUGUUGUGUGCCUGUGUUUGUCUGUAAAAGCAAGGACCAAAGUCUCCCUUGUUGACCUCUCAAUUCCUAUUUGGGACAUAUAAAAACACUGGAUUCUUAACAAGCGCCCGGAGCAGUAGGAGCACAGCUUGGAUGGACUCAGGACUUGUGGCAGGGAGCACGUGGGAGGCAGGGGAGUGGGGUGGGGCCAGGCCAUCUGGAGUGGGAGGCGUCAUGCUCAGAGUGACUCUGUAGACGCUGGGUGGGAUGGGGAGUGCGGGCGCAGGCAUGGAUGGGGCUGUUAGCUAGUGUGAUGCUUGAGGUCUGAGCUGAUGGCAGCAAAGUGGGGUGCUCAGGAAUCAAAGCUAUGGGGUUAUAGACAGGAUAUGAAGGAGGGAGGGAGGCAAGAAGAAGGGGGUGGUUCCCACGCUUCUAGCUCCGGCCGAGUGGAUGGCAACAGCAUUUGGAAGGCGGAGGACAUGGAAUUCAUGUGUCAGGAGCCACCUUCCGAGCCUCCAGUACCACGUGUCAGGGCCACAUGAGCUGGGCCUCGUGGGCCUGAUGUGGUGCUGGGGCCUCAGGGGUCUGCUCUUCUUCUCUUUCAGAAUCUGGGGCUCCAGGCUAUGCCUUGGCUGGACUGAGGUCUGGGGGUGCACUUAUUAUCCCUGGGGACACCUGCUGAAGCUUCUCCCUGACAAGCUGUGUCACUGUUGGAUGAGGAUGGGGCGGGAGGGGUUCAGGGCAGAAGAAGACCGGGAGGGUCUUUCAAAAGAACUCAUGUACGGCUGUUAAAAAAAGUCAGCAGAGGCUCAGGAAGACUUAAAGUGUGCAGAAGGCGGGGAAGGGAGGGCCCAUUGCAUGCACCAAGAGGAAAUUGGAAGGAACAAGCGACGUUGGCUGCUAGGAGAGCCUGCUCCCAACAUCUAGGGGCUGUCCUGACGGGUCACAGUGGGUCGAACUGAGCCAAUGAGAGCAGCUCUGGGGAGACCCACUGGUGCCCUGGAGGCUGGGUGGGUUUGGGUUGGAUGAAUUCUGUGUGUCCUUUUGGAAAUGUGGAGGCCAUGAGGGGGGAUCAGGGCUCUUAGGGUUUUGACCCUUAAGAGUUUUGUAUCUGUAAUUCAAAGGUUCUUUAGUUCUGGGAUGCUGAGAUUCGGGAUAGGGUUCCUAAUGGCACAAAAGCCAGAGAUAAAACAUCCUUCACGUGCUCCCUACCCGGUUCUUUCUGUACCAGACCCACAAGGUCCGAGUUGGGAUCCUAGUGCUCCUGUCUGGUCAGGGCCUAUCUUUAUGUGUUCGUUAAACUUUUAACAAUGAGAAUUAAUUCUGUCUCUUGACAUUGUCAUUUGCAUGCUCCCCACACACAAAUCCUUUCCUGGUGACACCAGGAGCUACAACUCUCCUUGGCCUCCUCUUGUGACUCCCAACUCCCUCCUUGGGAAGCUUGGCCUCAGGACCUCUGGGAUAGACAGGCCACGAAUCCUGCUGUGUCCCGUUGUGUUCCUAAUAUAAAUGGUGUGGAUGGCACUUGACCUAGAGCAGUGGGAAAUGCAUGCACCACUCAACAUUCUGACAUGUCACCCAUUUUACAUUCUUACAGGCAUACUUUUUUUAAAAAAAGAGUGUCUAUUCUUUAAUGAGCAUCCCUUCUUUAAAAAAACCUAAUUGCCAUUAUUCACCACAUACACUUUUUUUUUUUUGUAUCCUGCCUCUUCUAUUUAAUUUUCUGUCAUCAACAUUUUCCCUUGUUCCAUGAAUCUUCAUAACCUCACUUGCUGCGUUGUGCCUUGUUGAGUGGCUAUGGCAUCAUUCACAGAACCAUUCUGUUAUUCUUAUGUAUAACCACCUUUUAAAAAUAUUAUGAAUAAUGCCACAACUAACUGCUUAAAACACCCUUUUUUUCAUUCUUAAGAAUUAUGUUCUUCCACCCAGAAAUUAUCAUUGCUUCACUACAGAUCAGUUUCCCCUGCUAGACUGUGAGCCCCAUAAGGGCAAGGAGCUUAUUGAAUUGGCCUUUGUAUCUCUGAUGCCCAACAUGUUGUAGACUAUAAAUAAAUGAUGAAUGAGUGGAUGGAAGAAUGGAGGAAGGAGCGAGUGAGUGAGUGUUUGGCUGAUGGAUAAGAGGGUGGAAGGAUAGGCGGAAGGAUGGAUUGGUGAAUGAAUGAAUGAAUUUCCUUUGGUUAAGUCUCUUGAAAGAAAGGCUAUGGAUCUUUGUAUGGAUGUUGAAUAAUUUCAGUAAGCUUACAGCAUUUUACAAUGUUCAGCAAUGUAUGACCACUUAAUUAAGAUAUGGCUAGUUUGUCUCUGUUAUAAAGUACUUUUGCAUUACUUUAACUUGCAUUGCUUUAAUUACUAAUGAUGGGUGAACACUUUGACCUAUGUUUGUUAACAAAUUGUAUUUUAUCUUCUGUGAACUGUUUGUCCAAGUCCUUUGGGUCAUGGCUUUCUGAAGAGACUGGUCCCAGAUGUCCUUGGGAUGUAGGGAGCCCAUAGCUCACUGGAGGCAUUCAAGGAACCAGCCAGGCAGCCCUCAGAGAAAGUAGUGUUUAGGAGAUUCUCAUGGUGUGGGGUUGGCCUAGGUGGCCUUUCAGGUCUGUUUGAUGUUAGGAUUUGCUUCUCCCUGGGAAGUGGGUGAUGGGGAAAAAGACACCUUCCAUUGGCAGGUGUAGACACUGCAGGCUGGACCUCCUGGGUGUGCUUGUGGACUCCGAUCUUGCCCUUGAUAAAACCCCUGUGGGACAGGAAUAGCUCUUUGAACCUCCAAGGUCCAGACAGCCACAUCCUAGCACCCUGUACAAUCAGUUAGUGGCCUUCCCACCAGCGCAGUCACUCAUUCCUAUUAGAUCCCGAUGAAGCCAGGCCCUGGGGUUUCCAUUUUCCCACCUCUUAGGGGAAUUGGGUUCCCCGCGUCCUGUGAUAUGUCAGCAAAUGUCCUCAGCCCUGGCCUGCACAUGUGGCCUCAGUGGUGGUCUUUGGGGUUUAACUGACGAAUGGAACAUUUUGGAUCAGGACUGAUGGGAGAAUCUCCUUUCAUUUUUCUUCACCUGGGGCAAUUACAUUCUAAGGAGCGGAAUAAAGGGCAUGUUCUGCCCAAAGCAUCAGGGCUCACAGGUCAGUCACAGCCAUUUAGGGAGGGCAUGUCACCCAAGGAGGGCUCGCCCUUCUUUCCAGAGCAUCCUCCGCUCUCAGCAGAGCUGCUUCUGCCCACCCAUCCCUCUACUAUAGCACUGAGCACUGUUUGCCCGUGUCAGAAUCCCUCACCCACAUGUUUAGCUUGGUAUCCGAGUUUGGGAGGCCGGCAAUGACUUUCAACAUGAAUUGCUCCAUCUACCCAUCCAUGCAUUUGGCCUACUUAUCUUGACCCCGUGCUUUUGGCCUUUUCUUCUCCUGAAAGCAAACCCUUUCAUUUUGGGUGGGCUGUGUAGCGCCAUGGGCUGUGGUUAUGAAGCAAACACCCUUUCUUGUAGCUGCCUCCUCCGGGGUUACUGCCCUGAGCACGUCCCAGCUGGAUCUCGUCUGCCACUGUCACCCAUAGCUUCUUCCCCAUGGUGCUUUCCAUGUGUCACACACCACGACUGUGACCCAGGGUCGGGGUCAAGAGUAGCCUGGGGCCAAGCCCUCCCACCCAUGAGCGGAGAAGUCCUCCCCAGGCCUCACCUUGCCUGGCGCAUGGUCCCUCCCAUGAGCUUUGCUUUCAGCCUUUCAGCUUCCUCCACAGGGUGGCAGUGGUUGUAACUCAUCCAUUCAUCCCUUCAUCCCUUCAUUCAUUCACUCACAGCCAACAGACGUUUUUAAAAAAUUAGCCAGUGCUAUACUAGAGCUGGCUCCCAAGGACCCGCUGCCGCAUUGCCUUUUGAAACAAAACAAUGAACACGUUGGUAAAGGGGCCGUGCUUGUGUGUCGGUGACAAGGCGAGAUCCCUGAGUCAGGUCAGGCUUGUAGAUUCGAGUUCUGUUGCGAGUUUGAUUGCCCCUCUGACUUUGUCCCCUGUACAACUAGGUUGAUUAGGAAUCAGCCAACUGUGUUCCCUGGGUGCUCAGAAAUCACAGCCCAUAUCCUCGAGAGGCCAAAAUGAGAGCCAGGGGGUUCCAAGAUGAGUGGCUGCUUCUGGCCGGGAGCAGGUUUUCAAGUCAUUAGAACACUCUGGCCUUUCCUGGAGGUGAUCUUGGAGCCAUUCCUGCCCCUUUCAAGAGGAGUUAAUGCCCAGCUCUGUUUAGAGAAAAUUGGGGGAGAUGAUUGCUCAUGUGGGUGAUAAGAAUCACCUCCCGUGCAGGGGUCUGCAUAGAACACUCCAUAGGCAAACCUGGGUGUCCAAGGCACGUGGCAUUUUGCAAACUCUGGGUGCAGCUCCGAGCUGUCCUGCAGGUCCCAGACCAGGUGAGAACUCCCUGAGUUCCUGCUGCCUGGGUCGGGGGUGAGGCAUAGGUCUUGGGGGUUCAACCUGGAAUUCUGAAUGUCAUUCAUUGCAUUGGAGAGGAAGGAGAGUAGGCAAAGCCAAGACCCUGGAACUGGACAAACUCGUGUGGUUUAAAGUCACUGUGAGAGCUGGAGUUGAGUCUGCCUACGGGGGAGGACUGCGGCACCUACCUCGCAGGGCUGUUGUGAGGAGCAAUGUAACCGUGAUUUUGAACUGUGAUUCUGGAAGGGCGGUGUGCGUGUCCCCGGGGGUGUGCCAGGGGAGUGAGGAGAAAAGGCCAGGGAGACAGCCUCACUCAGGCAGCUGAGUGGGAGAGCAUUUAUCUCUAAACCUGGAGGGGUAUAUGGUGGGACAGGAGGAAUUUGGGCAGGAACUUUCAUGCUAGGGGUUUGGGGGACUCGCUGGACAAUGCCCCUGGACCCCCCGGGGGUACGCGUUCACGCUCACCUCUGAGAGGCUGGAAACGCCUGGCUGUGCUUUCUGAAUGCUGUGUGCUUCCUGCCUCUGUGCCUGGCCUGUGUGCAGCACCUACUUGUGUCCGCCUUCAAAAGGCCCUUCUGGGUGGCGUCCUUUUCCCCAAAAUAUUAGGCACCAGCCAUCAAAGAUACUGCAUUGUUGCCUCCCCCACCCCUCCCCCCAACUGACAACAUUUGGGCUCAAAUGCAGCAGGCUGGGUGCCCAACACAGUGCCUGGCGAGUGGUAGCGCUUACGUUUCUUUUCUGUUGAAUGGAUGGAUAGCUAAUGAAAUUGUAACCAAUGACAAGCCUUGAUGUUUAUAACCUUUACUAAGAGAUUAUUAUUUUGCUCUUCAUGGACCUGUUAACAACCACCAUAUUGUAUCUUACGGACGUUUGUAUGCCACGUUUGAAGAGCAGGAGCCUUGUUUCGGCGUCAUGUUGAUGGAACUUGAGCUGUCUGAUGCGAAUCUGUGUUUUAUGUUAGAAAGCGCGUAGCCUUAGGAUCUGGCAGACCCAGGGGCCACUUAAUUAACCCUUUGCCUCUUUGACCCUCAAUCUCCUUUUCUCUAAGCCAUAGGUCACCUGAAAGCCUACCUCACAGGGCUGUUGUGAGGGCCGAGGGUGGGUGUGUUUCAACAGUGUGCAGAUGCUGGCUUUCCCUGGGAAUGGGCAUAUGUUGGGAUUUGUCUUGAAAGCAUGAGUGAUGGCUUUACUAGUCCUAAGUGAAUAAAAAGUCAGCCCUGACCUUACGCUGGGAUUGCAUUUCCCACAGUCAGUGGCAUGUGCAGACCACUGGCAGAGCAGCCUGCAGGUGCUUAGCGAUGUGGGCCCAGAGUAAAUAUUUGUUUGAUUGAUGAGUGAUGGCUUUUUCCUUCCUCAGAGUUUGCCCUGCCCCCCAUUCCAACGUGGGCUGCUGCUUCUCCCCAGCGGGUUGUAGCUGGCAGGGCCGUUGUGCUUUGGGGUUUGCUGUACCUGUCGCUGCCGUGAGGGGACGAUCUGUCUGCCCGGAGGGGUUUCUGCAAACAUUCAUGUAUGCCCCUGCUUUCGUUUGUUAGGGAGAAGGAGUGGGGUGACCUAGAGAGAGGAUGAGGAAGGGGUUCUGGGUGGCAUCCUUGGGGUACCAACCCUGCUUCCAUCCUGCGCUCUGAAUUUCCUCACAGCCCUUUUCUGUCUCUGGUAGAAGGUGCAGAAGGUAGGCUUUGCCACCUUCCCUGGGCCUGGCACCAAGCUCGGGGGUCUUGUACACACUUUCCCUUCUCUAACUGGGGUGUGGGCCCAUUUCCUAGAUGAGCUUGCUGAGAAUCAGGACAGCUGGUAUCAGAGCCAGGACUUCCCAGUCUUGCACAAACAACCUGUGCAUUUUUGAGUCCACCAAAUAAGGCCUCCUGCCUGGUCCGGCUCACCCCUGCCAGCCCCCAGCAAAUGCAGCCUGGUGCGUCCCCACCCCUGCCAAGAGCCCAGGAGUGCUCUGGCAGAGAAGUGCAGGGAUGAGGAAGGAGGCUGUGCCCUCCAGGGGACUCAGCUGCGUUAGAGGAGGUGCUGCUGCAGUGGCAGGGGUCUCCAGACAUCCCACGCAGGGGUCCUUUCAGAUCAGGCAUCUCUUCACCAGACCACCGUAUUCCUUUUUCAGCCCUCGUCUCUUGCACGUGGGGGUGCAGUGUUUGGCUCUCACAUCCCCACAUUCCAGCUGGUGGGGGUUUGAGCUGGGUGUUCCUUCUGCUCCCCACUCCCCACUCACGGCCCCCACCCCACGCAAGCCUCCCUUGCCCCCACUCUUUGUCUCCAGCUUUCACAGCCUUGGCGGGCAGGCUGCUGCGCCUGUUGCUGCCCCGGCUCUCUUCCACCCGCCUCUUCUUUCUCAGCCUGAGCUUUACCGUGAGGUCUGGGCGCCACACCUUGGCCCCUGCCAUGCCUGCUCCCAGAAGCACCCACGUGGGUCCCCUGAUUCUCUCCUCCCCUGGGCUUUGCUAAGGAGCCCUUUCAUUGUGGCCUUUGGUGUCUGCCUCAUGCCCAUCCCCUGUUCUUGAGAACUUGGAAGCAGAGGGGGCCCCUCCUAUUGCUCCCAAGAGGCUCCACAGUAGGGAGCCCCUCCCAGGAGAUUCUGAGUCUGUGUUUAGGUGUCGAUUCCUGGGUGGGCCUUGGGGUCCCCUCAGGCCAGGCCUGUGUGUGACCUAAGGCUGGGGGGCUCUGUCAGGCACCUAGUGUCCCUUGGAGGUGGGCGGGGCUGGGUCCUGGUCUCCUGAGGACGGGUGGGGAGACAGGCUCAGGGAGAUUUCCACGAAGCUGCCCUUGAACCCCUCCUCUGAGGCCCACACUGCCCUGGCCCUUUACACCCUGCCUCCUGCACUAGUAGGCACAUAAUAGAUGCUCGCCACCUGUGGAGGGCAGGGUUUAAAUGGCUGGAAAGAGCUGAGUGGGCUGUUUGGCUAGCGUACGCGCAUUUGUUUAAAAGGAAAGGGUGUGUUUCUUGGCAAAGACUCUUCGGAGGAAACGCUGAACUGGGGAUGGGUCUCUACCUGUUCUGGGGCCUCACUGCCCUUCCUGCCGGGGACAGGCAGUCACUGGUGGGUUUCCCCCCAGUGGAAACACAAUAUUUUGGAAAUAUUUGUAUCUAGGAUAAAACUUCAUCUGGACCAACAUGUCUUUGUUGGUGUUGUGGCCCAGGUGAUUUUGAGAAUGUAGAAUACAUUUGGCAAUUUCCAAACGGAGUGAUGACCUGCUCCUCCGCCCCCCAUGCCCUCCCUGAGGCUGGAGGCUUCAGAAGCCCCUGCCUUGGGAGGAGGCUGUUCUACCUGAGAAGUCUUUGUCCCCACCGUUGGUGACAAUCAGCAUUGACCUGUGAGGCACCUGCCAGGUUCGGGACGCAGCUUUAGACAUCCAGAAAACCGGGGGUGGAGGGGUGGGGUGGGGGCUUAAGACCCCAGAGCUUGAUUCCUUUUAACUGUCUCAUCCCCAAAGAAUGGUACAUGGGUACCAGGUAGGUUACUUGAAUCACCCUGAGCCUCGAUUUUCCCACCCGUUAGAAACAGGGUAAUUCAUGACAGUGUCCGCUUGGGAGACGGCUGUGACCCCUGAGAAUUCUCGCUGCAUGCCGUGGGCUGGCUCGUGAGACUCAAGGUCUGGGUUCGAGGCCCCCGCAACCCCUUCUGACUGUGUGGCCUGGGCGAGUUUGUUGUUUGUAACCUGGAAAGCGUCACACCUGCCUGGCACGGUUAUUGUGGGCUUCAAUGAGAUUGUUUGUGUGAAAUAAACGCUUUGUGACUGGCACACAGGCGCUCUCAUCCCGGCUCUCCUGGUGGGCCCGGACCGCUGGGUGCUGGCUGCGGAGGCCCUGUGCUCCCUGGAACUGUCUGCGCUGGUCCCAGGGACUCUUGGGCAGAGUGGAGGGCAAGGGGGAAAGCACCAGCCUGCUCUGGGGAGACAGUGGCAGAGGGAAGUGUUUGCUUUUAAAUACACUCAGCAGGUUCAGACAGGAGAGGAUCCGAGGGGAAAUGUUUAGAGCCCUCAGGAGGAGGAAGAGACCGAGUUUUAGGAAAAACAUCAAAGCUGGAUAGGUUGGGCAGAAGAGCUGGGGAUAGCAUUUAGAGAGGCUGAGAGUCCUGGGUUCUGGGUUAUCAAGGUGAGAGAAACCAGAGGUUGCCAGUUGUAGGUGGGCGUCAGGACUAGAGUGAUGCUUCCAGAAGUUUCUGCAAGUGGGCCGAGUCUAAGGUAGGGCAGGGUACGCCAGAAGUUGAGGGGCACUAGGUAGACAGGCCGAGCUGGUGGCUGGGUGCUCCCCUCACCCUCCAUGCUGCUAGGAGCCCGUGAGCAGGGACUUGCUCUCCUCUCCCUCCCUCCUGGGGCCUGCCUGUCUGUCUGUGAACUCUUGUCGGCCAGCGAGGCCGGGAGCAGGUGGCCUUCAUCUGCAACUGUGUCUCUCUCAGCCUCCACAGCCACGGGGACACCCUGCACCUAUUCCCACGGGACAGGCUGGACCCAGAGACUCUGGACCCGGGGCCUCCCCUUGAGUAGAGACCCGCCCUCUGACUGAUGGACGCCGCUGACCUGGGGUCAGACCCGUGGGCUGGACCCCUGCCCACCCCGCAGGAACCCUGAGGCCUAGGGGAGCUGUUGAGCCUUCAGUGUCUGCAUGUGGGAAGUGGGCUCCUUCACCUACCUCACAGGGCUGUUGUGAGGGGCGCUGUGAUGCGGUUCCAAAGCACAGGGCUUGGCGCACCCCACUGUGCUCUCAAUAAAUGUGUUUCCUGUCUUAACAAAAACUGAUGGAUGUGCUACUAAUA